ensembl:lncRNA
UCCUGUUAUGUUAUUUAGAGCCCCGCAUUUUCUGACCGAGAGACACCAUACCAUUGUCUUCGGCCGUGAUGCACUGAGAUCGGUGAGCACAUAUUGUAUGUCUCAGUUAAGUCUGUUUUGCAUUUUAUUGUUGAGAAACUGAAUUUAUCUUAAUUGUUUCAGUAAUAACUGUCGUAUAUGCACUGACUUUACUUGGGUUAAUGCAUAGUUUGUGUAAGAGAGAUGUUUUAUUUUUGCAAAUUUGAGUAUUUUAAUUGCAAAUUUAUGUUGAAUGUGAUUUCAACAAAAUCCUAAGUUGUGAAUUAUAGCUAGAACAGCAUAAUUAAUAUUUGAAUUGCUCUUCUGACCCUGUCUGUUGACAGGUCAGGGGUUUUUUUUUUUUUUUGUAUGCUGAAUUGUUCCUGAGGUGGAUUCCUCCGGUGAAAUAGAUGGCGAGCCUUCCCACCUGGACUUAGAGAGACUGACCCAUAUGGAAAAGAUAUAUAUAACUCUUAUAAAGUUUGUAUCUGUCUUGUGUGAAACUUGUAUGAAAAGCAUACAAGAGUGAAAACAGAUAUAAGAUCCCUUGAAAAAGUUAUAUAAUGAAACUUGUAUGUUUUGGAUACUCACUAGAACAAUAUAUGAAAGUAAUGAGAAAGUGGCCACUUUCAUGAGUAAAUCAUAUAAGUUUUUACUAUUUCUUUUCCAUAUGGGUAGAUUCGCUUCUUUUCCACUUGAUGAUCUGCUGCACCUUGCGGUGUGGUAGGACUGUAUCACUCACACUUUCACACACAGCUGGUUAUACAUGAGACCACUGACUGACAUUCUCUCAUCCCUAUUUUCUUUCACACCCUGGGAAUUUUUUGGACUUUACCCCUUGGACAUUUUUUAUUUGGGACUUUAAAUAAUGAGCUGUUGCGUAGAACAUUCUCCACAUGUGAAAAGAGUGUGAGAUUUUCAUUUGAAUGUACAUUGGAUUUGUGUAAUUUGUUUCUAUAAGAGUUAAGGAGUCAGGUUACUAAGGUGCACCCGAGCAUUGAAACCCAACAUUGAAAACCAAAAGUAACACUUGGCCAAGUCAUUGCUUUAGUAGUUUAUGUAUUUUAUUUUUCUUUUAAUUUUUGUAAGUUUAGUAACCCUUCUACCAUUGUAAAGUGUCUUUAACCUGUGCUUGUCAACCUUAUGGUUUAUUUCACUAAAGUUGUCUGGUUCUUUCUUCAUAUAUUCUUUUCAACAAUUCCCCUUACUGUGUUACACAAGGGUUACAGUUUCACAAUAAGACCGGUAUUAGAGCAUUAAAAGGUUAAGCUUGUACAACGAGUUAAGAACAUACCAUUUAUUUUCUGUGCUCCACUAAAAGAAUCUGUAUCAGACAUUAAACAAUAGAUGACAGCAAAAGUUAACAUAAUCAAAGAGCUUGUCACCUUGGUGAAGCUACAGCGAGGAUGCAAAGUUCAGAAUCAAAGAACAAAUAAUGCAGCUGUGAAACUGAAGCUGUGCAUCCUGGUAAAAAAAAAAACCAACAAAAAAACAGGCUGUACAGAAAUAACAGAAAAAUGAGAAGAUGAAAAUCUGAGAACAGGUGGUGGAACUGUUGUUGUUUUUUGUAAUCACACUCUGGAAUAUGAGAUAAAUUAAUAUUUGGAAUUAAUAUUCACAAAAUAUUGGACUAAACCGAAAUUCUAAUUAGACCAGAAAUCUUUUUUUCUCUUUUCUCGCCUUUUCCCAUCCUCCCACCAUAUUCACUAUUGUGAAUAAUUUUCACAUAUGCUGCUCAAAUGAGAGGUUUUAGAACUUAGUUUGCAUUUGAAUAGCAUUU